UACGUAGGGGACGAGCGUUGUCCGGAAUUACUGGGCGUAAAGGGCGCGCAGGCUGUAGAUCAAGUCAGCUGUGAAAUGUCUGGGCUUAACCCGGGCAUGCGGUUGAAACUGAUGUACUGGAGUGCUGUAGAGGCAAGUGGAAUUCCCAGUGUAGCGGUGAAAUGCGUAGAUAUUGGGAAGAACACCGGUGGCGAAGGCGACUUGCUGGGCAGCAACUGACGCUGAGGCGCGAAAGCCAGGGGAGCAAACGGAAUUAGA
rnacentral:rRNA from 1 species